GUCCCUUUUCAUUGUUGCCUAUGCAGCCAACCAGCCAAGAAUAAUUAAAUAGAUGAUGGGCACUAUUCUUUGAAAAUUAAAAAAAAAAAUCAGAAGAAAUGGAAAAAAUGAUAACAAAUAUCUAUUCAAUAUCAUUAAGUGCAGCAAAAGCAUGAAACCAUAGUGAAUUAAAAGAUUUCAUAUAGAUUUGAGNNNNNNCCAGCAUGAAUAAAGAAGCCAACAAUCCGGGAGAACUCCUUCCCAACCCUGAGUGUCAAAU
rnacentral:misc_RNA from 1 species